rnacentral:rRNA from 1 species
GAUGAACGCUGGCGGCGUGCCUAAUACAUGCAAGUCGAGCGAACAGACGAGGAGCUUGCUCCUCUGACGUUAGCUGCGGACGGGUGAGUAACACGUGGAUAGCCUACCUAUAAGACUGGGAUAACUUCGGGAAACCGGAGCUAAUACCGGAUAAUAUAUUGAACCGCAUGGUUCAAUAGUGAAAGACGGUUUUGCUGUCACUUAUAGAUGGAUCCGCGCCGCAUUAGCUAGUUGGUAAGGUAACGGCUUACCAAGGCAACGAUGCGUAGCCGACCUGAGAGGGUGAUCGGCCACACUGGAACUGAGACACGGUCCAGACUCCUACGGGAGGCAGAAGUAGGGAAUCUUCCGCAAUGGGCGAAAGCCUGACGGAGAAACGCCGCGUGAGUGAUGAAGGUCUUCGGAUCGUAAAACUCUGUUAUUAGGGAAGAACAAAUGUGUAAGAAACUAUGCACGUCUUGACGGUACCUAAUCAGAAAGCCACGGCUAACUACGAG